UGCCCAGCAACUCCUAUCCCUACCUCCUCGUGGUACCGGCCGGAAACUAUGAGCAACCUUAGGGAACCUCGGGUAACCCCGGUGGGAACUUUGGUCAUAGGCUGACAGGGAAGG
rnacentral:ribozyme from 1 species